UUAUCAGUAACAAGUGGACAACCUGCCCUUAGGAAGGGUAUAAACCCGGGACUGGGUAUAAUUCCCUGAUAGAUAUCGUAUGCUGGAAUGCAUCGAGAUCCAAAGCUCCGGCGCCUAAGGAUGGAUCUGCGGCCUAUCAGGUAGUAGUGGGUGUAGCGUACCUACUAGCCUACAACCGGUACGGGUUGUGAGAGCAAGAGCCCGGAGAUGGAUUCUGAGACACGAAUCCAGGCCCUACGGGGGGCAGCAGGCGCGAAAACUUUACAAUGCUGGGAACCGCGAUAAGGGAACCUCGAGUGCCAGGUUACAAAUGUGGUUGUCGUGUUGACUAAAAAGCUUUAUAUAGGAAGGGGCGGGAAAGACCCCUGCCACCACCCGAAUAAAAAAAAAUAA
rnacentral:rRNA from 1 species